UACUGAUUAUUUGAGUGGCAAAGAAUUGAGAGAAAGACUAGAAAAGAAGUGAGACAGCAAUUAAAAUUACUAGGUGGUGGGAUACAUGCUAUGAUUGAGAACUGCAAAAGGCUAUUAUGACUGGAGAUUAUAUGAGGGCUGGAGAGUGAUAAGAGAUGAGGCUGGAGAGAAGAAGAGGAGAGGACCCAGACACACAGAGAAGGAGGUCACGUGAAGCUGAAGGCGGAGCUUGGAGUGAUGCGGCUCAAGUCAAGGAAUGCCAAAGAUUGCUGGGAGACACCAGAAUCCAGAAAAGAGGGAUGAAAGAUUCUUCCCUAGAGACUUCAGAGAGAGCACGGCCCUUCCAACAUAUUGAUUUUGCACCUUUAUCCUCUAGAACUUUGAAAGAAUACAUUUCUGUGGUUUUAAGUCAUUAAAUUUGUGGCAAUCUGUUACAUCAGCCCUGGGCAACUAACAAUCAUAAUAAGGAGUUUUAACUAACAUACAGACAUGUAUGUCAGGUGUCAGCCUUGACAUGUCCUAUGACAAGAUUUAAGUAAAGAAGUGACAUUAUUGGUACUUUAAAAAGGUCACUCUGGCUACAUUGUAGAGGUUGGAUGUGAAGAAAGAGAGACUGAAUAUGGGGAUAUGUUGGGAGGAUCUAGGAAAGGGCAGCGUUAAGUUGUGAAGUGAGGAGGGGAUGAAAAGAAGUGGCUAGAUUUGUGAAAUAGUAUAAAAGGUAGAUUUGGCAGAAUUUCAUCAUUAUUUCUUAGAUAAGAAGGAUUUGUGAAGAGUAAAAUGUCAAGAACUCUCGACAUACAGUCUAUCUUUCCCACAACUCGUUCGAAAAAACAUCUGUUCCUAUCUACAGCUCCAGUUAAGGCAGAGGACAUAGGCAUGACAUAUUUGUACCAUUUGAGUCAGUUAGGUUGGGGCAAUCUGAGUCUCUUCUGGUAUG